CUUCGGGUCUAGUGGCGCACGGGUGCGUAACGCGUGGGAAUCUGCCCUUAGGUACGGAAUAACUCAGAGAAAUUUGUGCUAAUACCGUAUGAUGUCGAAAGACCAAAGAUUUAUCGCCUAAGGAUGAGCCCGCGUAAGAUUAGCUUGUUGGUGAGGUAAAAGCUCACCAAGGCGACGAUCUUUAGCUGGUCUGAGAGGAUGAUCAGCCACACUGGGACUGAGACACGGCCCAGACUCCUACGGGAGGCAGCAGUGGGGAAUAUUGGACAAUGGGCGAAAGCCUGAUCCAGCAAUGCCGCGUGAGUGAUGAAGGCCUUAGGGUUGUAAAGCUCUUUUACCAGGGAUGAUAAUGACAGUACCUGGAGAAUAAGCUCCGGCUAACUCCGUGCCAGCAGCCGCGGUAAUACGGAGGGAGCUAGCGUUGUUCGGAAUUACUGGGCGUAAAGAGUACGUAGGCGGUUAUUCAAGUCAGAGGUGAAAGCCUGGAGCUCAACUCC
rnacentral:rRNA from 1 species